UACGUAGGGGGCGAGCGUUGUCCGGAAUUACUGGGCGUAAAGGGUGCGUAGGCGGCCAGAUAAGUCAGAUGUGAAAUACCACGGCUUAACCGUGGGGGUGCAUUUGAAACUGUUUGGCUUGAGUGCAGGAGAGGAAAGCGGAAUUCCUAGUGUAGCGGUGAAAUGCGUAGAGAUUAGGAGGAACACCAGUGGCGAAGGCGGCUUUCUGGACUGUAACUGACGCUGAGGCACGAAAGCGUGGGUAGCGAACAGGAUUAGAUACCCUGGUAGUCCACGCCGUAAACGAUGGAUACUAGGUGUAGGGGGUAUCGACCCCCUCUGUGCCGGAGUUAACGCAAUAAGUAUCCCGCCUGGGGAGUACGUGCGCAAGCAUGAA
rnacentral:rRNA from 1 species